rnacentral:lncRNA from 1 species
CCCAGUAGCUCUUUAUUAAGAGUAGAAAUGUUGAGGCAGUAACGGAAACACCUUAUUUUAAUUUAUUAUUCAUAUAUAAUCCUGGGAAUAUACGGGCAUCAAUUAUAUUUCUUAGAAAUUCUUUGCAGACAAGCCCAAAGUUCCUUAGGUUUAGACAUCAUGGACAUGUGAUCGGAUCCUAGUAUCUCUUUCACUUCAUCGGGUGGAUUUUUUUGGAUCAUCCAUUGUUGAAAAUCUUUCUCCAAGAUCAAAUCUUUCUCUGCAAUGAUAAAAACUCUUUUAACCGAGCCAUAUUUCUCCCUCGUUAGUACAAGGUCCCUUGACAAUUCUUGAUCAGUAAAUAGACGUGUUUCCCUCAUCAGUGUUGUGGCCAAUGUCCAGUCCUGAAGCCAUUUUGUCAUCAUAAAUUUCAUCAGAAUCUCAAUAUUAAGAGAAUAAAUGUAAAAAAUUGUGACAUACUGGGUCUUAAAAGAAAGAAAAAAAACCCACAUUUUGCUUAUGAAUCUGUAAAGUUAUUACCUCAAUUGGACUGAGCUGAUACAAUCUUAAAAGUAAGUGUUUGGGCCCAAAGAUAAAAGAUGUUGGUGGGUUAUUCGGGCCAUUAUCGAAUGUGAAGCGGGUGUCUAACGUAUCAGUUAGUCUUCUUACACGCUUCGGUCAUAACACAAGCACAAGAAAAGUGAAAAAGUUGAAAAUUGUGAGACAUGAGAAGAAUGUAACUUAACAAAUUGAUUGCAUGUUGUGAUAUAAAAAGUAUAACUAGAUAUUCAUCACAAAUAAAUAAGUCAAGCUAAUCAAUCGAAUAAGAGUUUUUUUUUCUUUCUGCAUGUACCUCUUGAUUAAGAGUGGAAAUGUUAAGGGAAGGGCCUGGCAUGAAGGCAGUAAGGAAAACAGCCACGGAAAUCUUGCUUGGAAGUCUCUCCAUGGUUUGAGAAAGUGCCAAUCCCCCUAAGCUAUGACCAACAAGGAUAACCUUUUCAUUUGGUGGUAGAGAUGCCAGAAGAUCUCUCAACGGCCUAAUAUAGUCAGAUAUUGAUUGAAGAUCGCUAAUCUGCCGCGGGUCAAUCCCAGAAGCUGCUAAAUCUAUAGUGGUAACAUUGUGACCUGAUGAUCUUAAUAGAGGCACAAGUUUGUACCAACACCAGGCACCAUGGCCUGCCCCGUGAACUAGCACAAAAUGCUUGCUAGGAUUAUGGAGUGGCUGCGAUAAGGCCUUAUUGGCUGCAAUAUUGAGAAGGAUGAUGAAAAUGGAAAUUAACACCAAAUGUUUCUUGGCUUGCUCCAUGCUAAUUCUCUUGAAGUGCUAGGUUUCUACAAGGCUUAUCCUUAGGCUUAUAUGAGUUUUAAAGUCAGACUCUGCUCGCAGUUUAUAUAUAUAUAUACAUGUGCGCGCGCGCUGCGCCAUAAAUAAAGGUACAAAAUGGUUAAUCUCUGUCAACAAUCACCUGUAGUCAAUAGCUUGAAACGUCAAGAAAAGGCUAAGCUCGUGGAUUACCUAGCUUGGUAGCUGGAAUUAAAUAGAAAGAAAGAUUUUUCCGUAGAUCAAGAACCCCUUGGUCAUGCAAUUCGGUCGUAGGUUUACUGAUAAGGACACGGUAGAAAAUUAAUAGUAAAAACUGAAAUUGCCUCCUAAUUACAAUUUCCACUGUAAGAAAAAUAGAAUAAUAAAUUGCCCAAGGCCCUAAAUUAGGUCCCAAAGUCUUGAUUAACUAGCACAAGAGAAGAGACAGAAAGCUCAAGGAAAAGAGUUUAUCCUACAUCCACAGGAUGAACCCACGUGAAUUUAGCCUCUAAAAGUGAACCCAAACUCCUGGCAUCCCUAGAUCAGCGUGGUUCUGAAUGAAACUGGACACAAAGGCCUUAUAACACCUUCAUAAUUUCGGUUGCAGAAAUUGUUGAAGAUAUGACUUAUAUUUGUUUCGUCUAUAUUCUUCACAAAAUCAAUUAAACUAGUUUGAUAAUUCAACUUUAAUCAUUGCGUUUCUAGAAAUUAUACCAAAUUUCAAUACUUUUCAUAAUCAUCUGCAUGUUUUACUUUUUCUCGAAGGACUUGUUUCUUGAUGGACCGUAUAUCAUGACUUUGUCGUUUUUUUUUUUUACAUUUAUUUAUUAUACCAAAUGCUAUCCAUUUGUUAAUAUAGAAGUGUUUAGAGGUUUCGUUAGCAGGUUUAAUGAUACUAUAGUAUCAAUAAAUUUCAAAUGACUUUGUCGUUUUUUUUAUUUUUACAUUUAUUUAUUUUUUUGUUCAACCCGCCACACGCCAAUGAGUUAGUCGUUGAUCACUAGAUAAUGUAAUUAACCACGUUGAUGAUGUAGAGAAACCAGGAUGAUGGGAAUACCAUAGGCAUCCGUAGGAGUACCAAAUUUGUAGUUUUCUCUCAAAAUUUCAAUGGUGCGAUUAGGCGAUAACUGCAUGCUAGUUUUUGUCUGAGAAUGGUUUGUUCGUUGACUUUACUUCAAUGGUGCGAUUAGGCGAUAACUGCAUGCUAGUUUUUGUCUGAGAAUGGUUUGUUCGUUGACUUUACUGAUUUGUCUGAGAAUGGUUUGUUCGUUGACUUUACUGAUAAUGAAUAAUGUCACCAACAUAUUGAUGAUAUAUAUAUAUAUAUAUGCAGUUGGAGUUGGCUUCACGCAACCCAAUCUUCAUCUGUUUUUCUCUUGAUCACUUCUCAACAUUAUCUUGAGAAAGGAUGGUCAGGGCAGUGACAUAAACAGAGGCUGAGUGUAAUAUUGUUGUUUUUUUUUAUUUUAAAGAAAUAAGAAUUUGAGGUGGUUCCGUUGUGAAAUUAUCUCCGGAAAUGGAGACUUUAUGGUCAGCAACGUCGCUGGAAAAUACGGGGAGGGUUGCCAAAAACCCACGUCUACUUCCUCCAUCGAAGCAGCCGACAUGCCAUCUUCUUCUUUGAAAGGAUACCAUGCAGUACUGCAUGUGCUUGGGCGCCCACCACGGAAGUCUAUUUGGAAAAAAAAAAGAAAAGGAAGCAUUUUCUCAUUUUUCUUUUCUUUUCUUUUUAUUAAUUCCCUUGUUUAUUCUUUUUAAGAAAAGAAAAAUAAAAAUUAAUCUCUCUUUUUAUUUUUCUCUUUCCGUUCCACACUUCUUCUAACCCUGUAUUUCUUACAAACGAACUUUUAAAAAAUAAGUAUAUAUUACGAUAAAAAAAAAAGGUACUUUAAAUUUUUUUUUGUUAUGAUCACGGCCAUAUAUAUGAUUCAUACUCUCACUCUACAAAUAACAAUAAUGGAUAAAACGGUGAAGGUUGCAAUAAUCUCCUUUAUUCAUAGCAAAUUCCAUUAUUUUUAAUACAUGGCACCGUGACGCCAAAGUUCCAUUUGUGAUUUUUACAAGGUACUGCCAUUUAUAGGCAGCAGCGUCUUAUUACUUGUUGAUGGACAAUAUUGCUCGAUCAGUCCAAUUUUUCGGCCAGCUCUGAUUCGGGUAUCUUGAAGUGAUAAAUCUGGAUGUUCUCAACAUCAAGCUUCUGGAAAUUACUACGUUUUCUUGUGACGAGAAAUUUGCCCCAGUUGUAUGGUUUGUAUUUGGCAGGGUUUUGCUGAUUUAUGAGCUCCUCCAAGGGCUGCACGUUGGUGUAGUGUGCUGGGCUGAGGAAAUAGGGAAUGGAAAAUCUUUCCUUUUCAGAAUUCACCAUCGCCCUGUGCUCCACGCUCUCAUAAAUGUCAUUGCUCCAUACCUAUAAAAACAAUUAACAUUUGAAACAAUAGCGUUGAUUCUAUAUGUUAAUGUUAAUUUCAGAGUUUUUGGAAAAGGAUAUACCUGAAUAAUGUCACCAACAUUGAUGAUGUAGGCAUUUGGGGUUGGCUUGACCCAAAGCCACUCUCCAUCUGUUUUUCUCUUCACUUCUAGCCCUCCAACAUCAUCUUGAGCAAGGAUGGUCAAGGCCAUGGCGUCCUUGUGUCGACCAACGCCGAGUGCGAGGUCAGGGACUGGGCAAGGUGGGUAGUGGUUGAGUCUAAUGAAGCUGGUUUGUUCUUUAAAGAAUCCAUGGAACUUGUCUUUUGGCAAGCCUAGACUCAGGGCUAUCAGCCCCAUCAAUUUGCAAGCUAGUUUUUCCAUUUCUUUAGCAUACUCUUCACAGACCUCUCUGUUCAUUGAAAUGUGUUAGAUUGCAUAGAGUAAUUAAAGCCCGCUAAAAUUAAUAAUUAGAGGUGUUCUGAUCUGUUUAAUGAGACUGUGGUGGUAAAUGUUAUGUUUUAAAGUGUUUUAUAUAUGUAAAUAUAUAAAAAUAAUAUUUUUUUAAAUUUUAAAAAUUUACAUCAAAACCAUUUAAAAAUACUAAAAAAAUAAAAAUCAAAGCAAAUUUUUAUUUCAAAAAUAACAAAAAGAUGGUUCAACUGAAAUGCAAAAUAAACUCUUAGUUUAAGGUCUCGUUUGUUUGCUGAAAAGUAGUUUCUUUUUAGAAAAUGAUUUCUUUAAAAAAUAAAUUCUGAGAAAGUGAAUUAUUUUUCGAUGUUUGGUAGUGUCAUGAAAAAUAAGUUGGAAAACACUUUCUAGUGUUUGGUUAUGUCAUGUAAAAUGAGUUGAAAAAUAACUUAUUAAUGUUUUAUUUUUUUUCAAGUUUAUUAAAAUAAUGAGGAACAAAUCUUACAAAUUUAAAAGUUGAAUAAGAAUGAAAUUGAAAAAAAAAUAUAAUUUCAUAAAUUAUGUCAAAUAAAAUAAAUAAUAAUCAAAUUAAUAAAGAUCAAAUCUAACAAAUAAAAAAAAUUGAAAGAUGAUGAAAUUAAAAUAAUUAUAAUUAUAAUUUCAUAAAUUAUUUCAAAUAAAAUAAGUAACAAUCAAAAGAAUGAGGACCAAAUUUGAUAGAUAAAAAAUUUCAAUUAAAAAAUGAUAAGAGAAAAGCAAAUAGCAAUCAUAAAAAUAAGGAUCAAAGUUAAUAUAAAAAUCAAAUUCUAAAUGAUGAAAUUGAAAAAAAAAUCAAAACAAAAUAUAUAUAGUAAUCAAAAGUUUGAGGACCAAAUUUGAUAUAAUCAGUAAAUAAUAUGAUAUUUCUAAAUUUUUCACAACUUCUGGAAAGUGUUUUCCGUUCAAAAUAAAAGGAAAACACUUUUCUGAAAACCAAGCCAAAUUUUCUUUUGAAUGGAAAGUGUUUUUCAUUAACCAACUUUUCUAAUAGCAAACAAACACAGAAAAAUUUAAAAAAUAAUUUCUAGAAAACCACUUGCCAUCAAAGAAAUGAGACAUAAUAUUAUUUUUAGGUUAAACUAACCAUAGGACCAGUGAAUUUUGGAUAUAUCAUUGCUUAUUUCAAAACAGAAAAUUCUAUAAAAGCGCAAAAGUUAUAUAUAGCGGAGAACUUCCAGAGGUAUAGCAAAAAAAGAAAAACACAAUUAUUGAAACAUCACAUUUUUCACUCAUUCUUUAUUGUAAUUUCAUCGGUGGGUAAACAAAAGUAAAAAAUAAAUUUUCAGAAGAAGAGAGAAAACAAUAGUAUAUACCUCAGGUCAUUGGGGUAUUCAGGCCACUGAUUAAACCACUUGGUUAGUUCCUCAUCAUCAGGCUUAUAUGAAGCAGGGACAGCCGUUGGAUCCUGGACUUUGAGAUCGAACACUUCUUUCCAGUCCCUAACAUUCUUGGUAUGCUCAGUGUCAUAAUAACCCAACACUUUCUCCUCAUUUCUCCUCACCUUCCUUUUCUCUUCCAGAGGCUGACCAAAAAAUUCUCUUGAUGCUUUCUCAAUGUUGUGUCGCUUAGCAAGCGGCACCCCAUGAUUGAUCACUUGAAAAAAUCCCCAAUCUUUGCAUGCAUUGCCUAUUUCCUCAACAAGACCACCAAGUGCUUGAUCGUUGUCUAAGUUGGAAUUAGGAGAGCUGAUUAUGGAAAGAUCAAUUAAGGGUAUUCCUUCUGCUCUAGUGAUCUCAGGUUUCGGCCUGUGUUCUUGGGCUUGAAUGAAGGCUGGAUCAACCUCUCCCAUGGUGAUUUCCUUCUCCUUUGAUGUUGAUUAAGAAACCUAGAUCAACCAAGUUUGUGUUUGUAAGAAAAAAAAUAGCGGUUAUGUGGCUUUUUAUACCUUGUUAGCAGGUCUAAUGCAAAGUGAAUCUAGACAGCCUUUGGUGUAGUGUUAAGAGGGGAAUUAACUAGGUAAUGUCUACAGUGUUGUCUUGGAAUGCCGUGACGUUUGUGCUGGCAUGGCAAAGGUUGCUUCAAACGGCCAUAUGGCGACAAUGAUAGAUCGGCCACCACACUCUGUUCUGGUCCAUUAUUCUUUUACCGUAAACGAAAGAUUUCAUAUCAUUUUGUCUGAAUAAAUUAUAAUAACCGUGUAGUUAAAUCAUCCAAAUUCAUGAUUGUUUGUGUGAGAAUGAUUUAAAUCGUAAUAACUUCUUAUAUGAUUAAAUAGUUGCCGGAAAGAUUAGGAGUUUAGAUUUUAUCAAGGAUUGGGUUCAAGAAGAAGAAGAAGAAGGUUUAUCAAGGAUCAAUCUGUUGUCAAGAGUAGAAAUGUAUAAUGCAGAAUUGAAUUUAAUGAUUUAAACUUGCAUGCUUACCCUGAAUUAAUUUAUCAAAAAUAUUUAUUCAUUGGUUUAGAAUUAAAUUUAUUCAAUUUAAAUCUGAUAGUAAGGAAAUAGAGCCGUCAUCAACAAGUAAAUUACUGAACUUUCACCCCCCAUGAGGCCCACCACGAUUUUCGUGAAUCUUAGAUCAAUCAGUACAUUCUAGGUUACUAUCUCGCGCUAUGAUAUAUGUUAAAUAAAAAAAAAUCAACAUAAAAAAAUAAAUGUUCAUAGCAUAAAGAAUUCUUUAAUAUUAUUAUUAAAUAAAUUAAAUUUUAAAUCUUUUACCGUAACUACUCUCCAAUUUAAUUCAACCAACUUGAUAUAUUCAAAGAUAACUUAAAUGUUUGAUAAAACAUGAUUUGGAUUUAAAAAAAAAACUCAAGAUGAUUUUUUUUAAAAAAAAAUUAUUAAAAUAAUAAUAUAUUAAAUCGAGUUGACUUCACGGCUUAACCCGUUAAAUCCAUGACUCUAGUUAUGAGGUUUAAUAAUUUUAUUUUUUAAAAUUAUUUUUUAUUUAAUUAUAUGAAAAAAAUAAAUCAUUAUAAAAUUAAAUACUAACUAAAUAUAAAAAUAUUUAUUUAAGACUAUAAUAAACUAAGAGAAGGCAAAUUGAAACAAAUAUGUUGUCAUGCAAUUAGUAGCUAGAUUAGAAAGAAAGAUAUUUCCCAGGAUUCUAAAACUCCUUGGUCAUGCAAUUCGGCCGGACGUUUACCGAUAAGGACACGGUAGAAAAUUAAGAGUACAAACUAAAAUUGCCUCCUAAUUUCAAUUUCCUCUGUAAAAAAGAAUAAAUUGCCUAAGGCCCUAAAUGAGGUCUGAAACUGGACACAGAGGCCUAACACCUUCAUAAUUUCGGUUGCAGAAAUUGUUGAAGAUAUGACUUAUAUUUGUUUCGUCUAUAUUCUUCACAAAAUCAAUUAAAUUAGUUUGAUGAUUCAACUUUAAUCAUCUGCGUUUCAACAUGUCAAGAUAAUUAUUUGAUAUAGACGCAGUUUAAAAUUAAAUUACAUUAAAAAUUUCUUGAAUGCUACAUUGAUGAGCAUGAAUGCUGACUUUAGGUGGGUAUCAUAUCAGUAACAAAAGAGGUGCGUGGGCAAGGCCGGCUGUUGGAUAACCAUGGAUACCCGAUCGAGUUCGGGUAGGCGAAGACUCGGGUUUGGAUAUGAAUAUUACAAAACCUGACCCGUAGGAUUCAUAAUUAGAUGUCAUUUCAACAGCAAAGAUCUUAUCUGAUACCAGUACAUUUAUUAAUUCUGGCACCCUUGAACUCAAAUAUAUUUAUACCGUGAGCAAAUUCGUAACUCAUACUUCUGGAGAUAUUUUUUUGCUAAUUACAAAGAUUAGCAUGUCCGCAUGAAAGACAUGCUACAAGUUAAUUGAACUUGACCCCUCUUGUGCCGAUCUUUGCUCUUCCGACAUAAAGCUUCAAUUACUAAAAUAAAGAUGAAAAUUAAGAGCAAGGAAAAAAACGCAAUUACCCAGUAGCUCUUUAUUAAGAGUAGAAAUGUUGAGGCAGUAACGGAAACACCUUAUUUUAAUUUAUUAUUCAUAUAUAAUCCUAGAAAUAUAUGGGCAUCAAUUAUAUUUCUUAGAAAUUCUUUGCAGACAAGCCCAAAGUUCCUUAGGUUUAGACAUCAUGGACAUGUGAUCGGAUCCUAGUAUCUCUUUCACUUCAUUGGGUGGAUUUUUUUGGAUCAUCCAUUGUUGAAAAUCUUUCUCCAAUGUCAAAUCUUUCUCUGCAAUGAUAAAAACUCUUUUAACCGAGCCAUAUUUCUCCCUCGUUAGUACAAG